rnacentral:rRNA from 1 species
AGUCGAGCGAGGUAGCAAUACCUAGCGGCAGACGGGUGCGUAACAUGUGGGAAUCUGCCUUUUGGUUCGGAACAACACGGGGAAACCUGUGCUAAUACCGGAUAAGUCCUUACGGAGAAAGUUUUAAUGCCAAAAGAUGAGCCCGCAUUUGAUUAGCUAGUUGGUGAGGUAAAAGCUCACCAAGGCGAUAAUCAAUAGCUGAUUUGAGAGGAUGAUCAGCCACACUGGGACUGAGAUACGGCCCAGACUCCUACGGGAGGCAGCAGUGGGGAAUCUUGCACAAUGGGCGAAAGCCUGAUGCAGCGAUGCCGCGUGAGUGAAGAAGGCCUUUGGGUUGUAAAGCUCUUUUGUCGGGAAAGAUAAUGACUGUACCCGAAGAAUAAGGUCCGGCUAACUUCGUGCCAGCAGCCGCGGUAAUACGAAGGGACCUAGCGUAGUUCGGAAUUACUGGGCGUAAAGAGUAUGUAGGCGGCUAGAUAAGUUAAUUGUGAAAGCCCAAAGCUUAACUUUGGAAUUGCAAUUAAAACCAUUUAGCUGGAGUAUGAUAGAGGAAAGCGGAAUACAUAGUGUAGAGGUGAAAUUCGUAGAUAUUAUGUAGAACACCAGUUGCGAAGGCGGCUUUCUGGAUCAUUACUGACGCUGAGAUACGAAAGUAUGGGUAGCGAAGAGGAUUAGAUACCCUCGUAGUCCAUACCAUAAACGAUGAUUAUUAGAUGUGGGGAAUUAUUUCUCUGUAUCAUAGCUAACGCGUUAAAUAAUCCGCCUGGGGAGUACGACCGCAAGGUUAAAACUCAAAUGAAUUGACGGGGACCCGCACAAGCGGUGGA